rnacentral:rRNA from 1 species
AUGCUGACGGAGAAGCCCAGCUGGGUUCGCCAUGACGGCCUGCAGAUCUUCUCCAUCGACAUCCAGCCCAGCGGCCUCCGCUUCGCCACGGGAGGUGGCGACCAGAAGGUUCGCAUAUGGAACAUGAAAUCCGUGAGCAAAGACAACCAAAAUGAUGAUUCCAACCAAAGAUUGCUGGCCACAAUGCGUGACCAUUUUGGAUCAGUAAACUGUGUGAGAUGGGCCAAGCAUGGACGCUAUCUUGCUUCAGGAUCAGACGAUCAAGCUAUCCUAAUUCAUGAAAGGAAAGCUGGUUCCGGUACAUCUGAGUUUGGAAGUGGAGAACCUGCAGAUAUAGAAAAUUGGAAGGUCGUUAUGACCUUAAGGGGGCAUACUGCGGACGUGGUAGAUCUAAAUUGGUCCCCUGAUGACUCGACGUUGGCUAGCGGCAGCUUGGACAAUACUGUUCACAUUUGGAGCAUGACAAACGGUAUUUGCACUGCCGUCUUGCGGGGGCAUUCCAGCUUAGUUAAAGGAGUUACUUGGGAUCCUAUUGGAUCUUUUAUUGCAAGCCAGUCAGAUGACAAGACUGUUAUCAUAUGGCGUACGAGUGACUGGAGUCUUGCUCACAAGACUGAAGGCCAUUGGUCAAAAUCUCUUGGUUCGACAUUUUUUAGGCGGCUUGCUUGGUCGCCCUGUGGCCACUUCAUAACCACAACUCAUGGUUUCCAGAAACCUAGGCACUCGGCCCCUGUGCUUGAACGGGGCGAGUGGACUGCAACUUUUGACUUUCUGGGACAUAAUGCGCCUGUGGUGGUGGUGAAGUUUAAUCACUCGAUGUUCCGUAAGAAUUUAGCUACUGGUCAAGAUGCAAAGACGGCACCAGCUGGAUGGGCCAAUGGAGCAUCAAAAACAUCAGCAAAAGAAUAUCAACCAUAUAAUGUUAUUGCUAUUGGAAGUCAAGACCGGACUAUUACUGUUUGGACAACAGCAGGUGCCCGGCCAUUGUUUGUUGCUAAGCAUUUCUUCACUCAAAGCGUGGUUGAUUUAUCUUGGAGCCCUGAUGGUUAUUCACUUUUUGCGUGCUCUCUGGAUGGAUCAGUUGCGACCUUUCACUUUGAAGCAAAGGAGCUCGGAUACAGGCUUAGUGAUUCUGAACUGGAUGAAUUAAAGAGGAGUAGAUAUGGUGAUGUCAGAGGGAGGCAAUCAAAUCUAGCUGAAAGCCCUGCGCAGUUGCUGCUAGAAGAAGCAUCAGUGAAGCAAUUGGCUGCCAAGAAGGCGACACCUAUCGUCCAACAAUAUCAGGCGCCCCCAAAAGUUCCUGCAGAUGUACCUAAACCACCUCCUGUUGUGGUUGUGGAGAGUCAGAAAGCUCCUGAAACUCUACCUGAAGGCGAAAAGAAAACAGCAGGUCAAGCGGCUGAUGACACCUCGAAAGUUACCCGGGUAUCUAGUCCAGUAAAACAAAGGGAAUAUCGGCGUCCUGAUGGUCGGAAAAGAAUAAUUCCAGAGGCAGUGGGAUUUCCUUCUAACCAGGAAAACUUGUCCAACCGUCCUCAGAAUCAAGUUGUUGAUUUUUCAUCCUUAGAUCAGCGCAUGCGCCCUGGGGAGAAUGGAAUAAGAUCAUCCUACGGUACCGGUAACUGUAACAAUUGUGGAGUUAGGGAACGCUCUGGCAUCACAGCAAGAGCUAACAUUAGCGAGAGUCUUGUUAUUCAAAAAGCUUCAACUGGUACUGGCAGGGAUGGAAGGUUGAGUGUUGAACACACUGGUUCUGUUGUUCCAGGCUUGCUGGCCUCCUCCUCUGAGCUCUCUAUUUUUGUAUUCAAUAAGAAGGACAAUGAUGAUUCUUUGCCAGUCUGCCUUGAAGCCAAGCCAGUAGAACGUUCUGCAGGUGAUAUGAUUGGACUGGGUGGUUCCUUUUCAACAAAAGAAACCGAGAUUAGAUGUACAAAAGGAACAGAAACUCUUUGGUCAGAUCGCAUCUCCGGAAAAGUUACUGUCUUGGCUGGUAAUGCAAACUUCUGGGCAGUUGGCUGUGAAGAUGGCUGCCUGCAGGUUUACACAAAAUGUGGGAUGCGAGCAAUGCCAGCGAUGAUGAUGGGCUCCUCGGCUGUUUUUAUAGAUUGUGAUGACUGCUGGAAAUUGUUACUUGUAACAAGGAGAGGUUUAAUGUACAUAUGGGAUCUCAAUAACAGGACCUGCAUCUUGCAAGAUUCUUUGGCUUCUUUGGUUACCUCUCCAGAUGAGGCCUCAACAAAAGAUUCUGGUACAGUAAAGGUUAUAUCUGCUAAGUUCUCAAGAUGUGGUUCGCCCUUGGUUGUCCUUGCCACCCGGCAUGCUUUCCUCUACGACAUGAGCAUGAAGUGCUGGCUAAGGAUUGCGGAUGAUUGUUUUCCAGCAUCAAAUUUUUCUAGCUCGUUUAGUUCUACUCAAGGUGGAGAGCUAGGAAAGUUGCAGAUUGAUAUAGGAAAGUUCAUGGCUAGAAAGCCCGUUUGGAGCAGGGUUACAGACGAUGGAGUGCAGACGCGGGCCCAUCUUGAGACCCAGCUAGCAGCUUCGUUGGCUUUGAAGUCUUCACAGGAAUAUCGCCAAUGCCUCCUAUCCUACAUUAGGUUUUUGGCAAGAGAGGCAGAUGAAUCUCGCCUACGUGAAGUCUGCGAGAGCUUUCUUGGCCCUCCCAUGGGCAUGGUUGGUGAUGUGUCUACCGAUGCGAAUAAUCCGUCAUGGGAUCCUGAUGUUCUUGGAAUGAAGAAACAUAAACUUCUCAGGGAAGACAUACUUCCUUCGAUGGCGACAAACCGCAAAGUCCAGCGGCUGCUCAACGAGUUCAUGGACCUGCUGUCGGAGUACGAAAGCGUCGCCGAGGAAAACGUCGACAAAAUGGACGUGACACCUCCAGCAGCAGAAGCCAAGGUCGAUAAAAUGGACGUGACACCUCCAGCAGCAGAUGCCAAGGUCGAUAAAAUGGACGUGACACCGACAGAAGCCAAGGACACCGCGGCAUAG